GGGGGGGGGGGGUGUGUGUCCAGCACUGCAACACACUCCACACUGAAGACUGUGUUUGUGUGCAGCUGAACUGCACUGAAAAUAUUGAAAAGAUGAGGCUAUGUAUGAGGCAUAUCGGGUUAUGCAUGUCUUUCACAUUUGUAUGGCGUGACAUAUCUUAUUUAUACACAAUAUGUUUGUUGCAUUAGUACAAAGUAUGUUUGUCAUAUUAUUAUAAUACAAAGUGGUAUAAGGGACUGAGAUCUUGACAAGUAUGCAUGAUGGUCAUGGUUAGACUGACAAGACAUGAAAAAGUUUAGUUCCAAUAGGUUAGAAAAGUCUGGCUAGUUUGGCUUCAGUGGUGGAAAUAUGCAGCAACACCAUAGCCUUCUACAGGAUGAGCCAGAUGGUAUACUGUUUCAUUUGAUCAGAACAGGUAAAAUAGUCUGAGGUGACACUUGACACUGAUCAAAUAGCCUAAGGUUCAAACAUGAGACAAUGUGCUACCAUAGGACAUAUUCUACUCUCAAGUUCUUUUUUUGUUGUUUUUUUUUCAACAAGUGGUGCAUUUCUUUUUCUAAAUUAGUAGACUGUUAUAAAUAUCCUUUGUUGUUGGCUACCCUGUAUUCAGUACAUGGGUAUAGUUAAGGGGAGUGCGCAAUUUCGGGGCAUCUAUGCGACUACAAAGAAUUCCACGUUAUUUUGGAGCUUUUGACGGUUUUGUUAAGGUUUAAAAGCAGUAGAAAUGUUUGAAACAGGAGUGAUGGGGAAUGGGAGGGGAGAUGGAAGGAUGUAAUGGGGAGAGAUGUGGGAGGGGGUGAAGGAAUAUGAGUGUGUGUGCAAUUUCAAGGCGGUCUUUCAAAUGCAAAAAAGGGAAAAUCAGUUUACAGAGAACGAAAACGAUUAACCUCUGUAUAUAUAGCUGCAACAUUAUAAAAGAAGAUACAACGUGUUUGCCAAUGCAGAUGCUGGAAUUCAUCAGUUGUACAGUUUACAAGGCAGCAAUGCGCGUAAUUUUAACUCGAGCUAGGUGGAUUCACCUAAACGGUGUGUGAGAGAAGGAAAGAAGAAGAGGGAACCAGUGGGAAGGGGGCGGGGGUGUAUGGACCUCACUGGUUGCGGGACCUAUAGGCACCCCGAUUGUGCUGUUGUUAUUUUUAGAGGUAAGGACAAAAGAAAUCAUUUUUUAGAGGAACGGCCCCUUAUUCCAAAGAGUGUGACGGGCCCCCCGACUUCGCCGCCGCUGGUCGGGGCUGUCAAGACGACCGACGGAGAGGGAAAAGCGGCGGAGCAGUCGACUCAAGUCCGGGGUUUCCUGCUACAGCAGCGGGAAUCACACAAAACACCCUUUCACUUCUCGUGGGGCCUUCAGCGUUCUCAGAUGUUCUCAUCCCUUCUCACUGACAAGAAAGGCCUGCAUUGAGAUAACCGUUGAAGAACGAAGAACAGAUCACAAUGAAAAGCCUUACUUUCAGAUGGUACCACAUGAAGAGGAGCUAGGCCAGAGGACCUUUAAAUGAAUGGCAAGAAAACAAGCAAAUAGUGUGGAAUAUAUCAGAGAGUCAGAUAUCCGUUCUAUAAAACUAAGAACAAAUAAAAAGGGAAGAACAAAAAAAUUAGUGUGCAAAAGAAGAAAAGGACUUCUGGGGACCAAAGAAUUUUUUAAACACCAACAAUUGAAGACAGUUCACUCAAACAGUAUUCUGAAGGAGAGAAAUAUAAUCCAUGAAAUCUAUUUAAUCAUAUUAACAUUAGCAUCAGUGAACAUAUGAAAAGGUCCAUGGAUAUUUUCGGUCCUAUGUAAGGACUAGUUAUUUUAUGAUUUGACAGCUGAGCUGCUAGACAUAAGUGCACAGAACUACCUGAAAACAGCAUUUGUGUGCAAUUUGCC
ensembl:lncRNA